AGAGUGAACGCUGGCGGUAGGCCUAACACAUGCAAGUCGAACGGCAGCACAGUAGGAGCUUGCUCUUACGGGUGGCGAGUGGCGGACGGGUGAGGAAUACAUCGGAAUCUACCUUUUCGUGGGGGAUAACGUAGGGAAACUUACGCUAAUACCGCAUACGCCCUUCGGGGGAAAGCCGGGGAUCGCAAGACCUGGCGCGGAUAGAUGAGCCGAUGUCGGAUUAGCUAGUUGGUGAGGUAAUGGCUCACCAAGGCGACGAUCCGUAGCUGGUCUGAGAGGAUGAUCAGCCACACUGGAACUGAGACACGGUCCAGACUCCUACGGGAGGCAGCAGUGGGGAAUAGUUGGACAAGUGGGACGCAAGCCUGAUCCAGCCAUACCGCGUGGGUGAAAGAACGGCCGUUGGGUUAGUAACGUCCCGUUUUAGGUUACGGGAAAGAAAACGCGAAAUUACGGUUAAACUACCCGGUUGUUCCGUAGGUACCGGUAACCCGAAAGUAAACGUAACGGACCG
rnacentral:rRNA from 1 species